AUUGAACGCUGGCGGCAUGCUUUACACAUGCAAGUCGAACGGUAACAGGCCGCAAGGUGCUGACGAGUGGCGAACGGGUGAGUAAUGCAUCGGAACGUGCCCAGUCGUGGGGGAUAACGCAGCGAAAGCUGCGCUAAUACCGCAUACGAUCUCUGGAUGAAAGCGGGGGACCGAAAGGCCUCGCGCGAUUGGAGCGGCCGAUGUCAGAGUAGGUAGUUGGUGGGGUAAGGCCCACCAAGCCAACGAUCUGUAGCUGGUCUGAGAGGACGACCAGCCACACUGGGACUGAGACACGGCCCAGACUCCUACGGGAGGCAGUAGUGGGGAAUUUUGGACAAUGGGCGCAAGCCUGAUCCAGCAAUGCCGCGUGCAGGAAGAAGGCCUUCGGGUUGUAAACUGCUUUUGUACGGAACGAAACGGCUCUGGUUAAUACCUGGGGCUAAUGACGGUACCGUAAGAAUAAGCACCGGCUAACUACGUGCCAGCCGCCGCUGUAACAC
rnacentral:rRNA from 1 species